AGGCGCGUAGCUCAGGGGGAGAGCGCUUCCCUGACACGGAAGAGGUCGUUGGUUCAAAUCCAAUCGCGCCUACCA
rnacentral:tRNA from 3 species